ACCGCCAAAACCUAAACUAAAACCCAGCCGAGAAACCAAGACCACAUCGAAGCCCUAUCACCAUCUUCGUUAACCAUCUUCGUUAACCAGUUAACCAUCGCUUUCAUCACCUGCUUCAUCCUUUCGCCGGUGAAACCCUAUCACCACGUGAAACCUCCUCUCUCGAACCGGAACUUCACCAAACCUCCUCUCUUGAACAAACACACAUUCAGAAGAAGAAGAAGUUGUUGAGGUGAAGAGCGAGCGGAAAGAUAAGAAGAUUGUACCAGGCCGAAAUCACUUCGAUUACAUAGAAGAGUCGGAAGUUGAUGAGAUAAGUCGUAGUCAAGUGUGGAAGGCUGCCCGCGUCAAUAAGGAUGGGGUGAUUGAUAAUGAGAAUGUUCAAAGAGUUUUGGAUCAAUGUGAGAAGUUAACAGAAGCUCAAACUGAAGAAGAGAGACAAGAACUUUCUUUCAUUCUUAUCACCACAUUAUAAAUAUACUUUUGUUGUUUGGUUAAAUAAUUCGAAGAAGACUUGUUAGACCCACAUUAAAUGUUUGAUUAUUUUAUAUAUCUUGAAUUGGUUUUUAUUUUACAAUACAUAAUCAAUAUUUCUUCAAUGAUACAGGAAAACAAGAAGCGGUUAUUUUGCCUAGCUAAAUGAUUGUACCUAUGGGAUCAACGUUUUUGGUUCUUGAAGUGUGGUUACUACUUGGUGUUGUUUUGUUGUCGUUUCUUGUUUUUUAGGUGUUUUAUUUAGAGAAUAUGACUUUUUAUUUUGGAAUUUGGAUUAAAGUACUCUUAGAUGGAAUGCAUGCAUCUACAAAUUUGGCUAUGCAAAUGCACUCUUUUUUUUAAGUACACUAAAUACAUAUGAUAUUUGUAAACAAGAGGAUUUGGUUUAAAAUAUUAUUUGGUAUUGAUGGAUCAUAAUAUGUAUGCAAUGAGUAACUUAAAGUGUUAUUUGGUAUUGAAUUAAAUGUAGCUUUUCAAUUAAUAGAAU